rnacentral:tRNA from 1 species
GACAAGAUAGUUUAAUAGAAAAAUAUUGGGUUUGCGUCUCAAAGAUGGAUUAUUUUUUCUUGUUA